GAGAGAGAGAGAGAGAGAGAGAGAGAGCACUUUGGGAACUAGAAGACAAGAAGCCAUUUUGCAACCAUUAUUCACUAAAGUUUUGAAAAGAUUUUGGGCAUGUGCAUUCAAAUACUUAUAUAUUUCAAUAACGAUGUAAGAUACUUUAUGUGCAAGUAUUUCGUGUUUCCUUAUGCCUUUAUAUUCAAUUAAAUAUGCAUGGAUUGUCAGUGGACAAUUUUUUUUAAGAGAUAUGAAAUCCUAUGGGAUUAUAAGAGGACCUAAGAUGGACGUGUCGCUUGAUCACGGAUAUACUCCAUAAGAUCAGAGUGGUAUGAAAUGUAUAAUUUUAUUGUUAUGUAUUUGUAUAUGGAAAUUGCAUGUAUCUUACUGGGUGUUUUCAAAUAUUCACUCUUACAAAUUUUUACUAGUUAGUUCGGGUCAACUGGACUGUGACGAAUUGGUGAUGCAGGUUACCAAGAGAAUCAUAGGAACAAAGAAUAAAAUUUUCAUUAAGUUUUUC
rnacentral:lncRNA from 1 species